AUACGUAUGUUUGUUAUUGUGUUCUCUAUUUUUAUGUGCAGUUUUGAUGAAGGUUCUUUUACAAAUGAAGACCAGUUAUGAAGAUUUAAAAUUUACGUUUUAAUGUAUUGUUAAUUUAUUAUAUUCCAUCAGAGUUACGCUUAAUGCUGUGUUUUGGUUACACUACUGUCUGUUUAUCAAACUACUUAAUGCUGAUUUACGCUUACUGCUAUAUUUAUGCUGCACUACUGUAUGUUUAUCAAACUAUUUAUCCGAAGCGAAGCGCUUUACAUUUUAGUGUACUGUUAAUUUAUUAUAUUUCUAUCAGAGUUACGCUUAAUGCUGUGUUUUGAUUACACUACUGUAUGUUUAUCAAACUACUUAAUGCUGAGUUACGCUUACUGUUUAUUUUUACAACACUACUGUAUGUUUAUCAAACUAUUUAUCUGCAGCGAAGGGCGGGGUUUUCACUAGUUAAAGGCUAAAGCACAAGCACAUUUCUAUAUGCUUCUUUAGUUUUUGAUGGGACCAUAAAUGGUACAUUUUAUCAAAUUAGUAUUGUCACCGUUGCUUGCCCUAACUCCCACCGUACAAGUUGCGACAAUCACACCUCCAGAGGCCGUUUGGUUAGAUGUAAUUAUAAAUGCAGUGUAGUUAGAGAUAUAUGCAAUUGAAAAUACAACAGUUACAACUACAUGAAUUAUGUUUGGUUGGAUGUAGUAGAAAGCGCUGCAAGUAUAAAUAAUUUGUUUGGUUGCAUACAAUUGAGAAAUAAUUUUUAAAAUUUUACUAUUUUAUAUAUAUGAUGGUGAGAUUACUUCCAAUGUAAAAAAGAAAAAUAAUUUUUGUUUAAAAAAUAUUGAGGGGGUAAGCAUAUUUUUUAUUUAAAAUUACUCUCUCCAACUGCUGUAGUUGGAAUUGCGGCCAAUUUGGGCGUAGUUCGAACUGCUACAGUUGAGCCUCCUCCUACAGUUCCUACUGCAGCAGUUAGAGUUAAAUACAUCAAAUCAAAUACGAAAUUUGUAUUUAUAUGCAAUUACAACUGCAGUACAGUAGCAACUACAUGUAA
rnacentral:lncRNA from 1 species